GACGAACGCUGGCGGCGUGCCUAAUACAUGCCAGUAGAACGCUGAAGGAGGAGCUUGCUCUUCUGGAUGAGUUGCGAACGGGUGAGUAACGCGUAGGUAACCUGCCUGGUAGCGGGGGAUAACUAUUGGAAACGAUAGCUAAUACCGCAUAACAUUGACUAUUGCAUGAUAGUCAAUUAAAAGGUGCAAAUGCACCACUACCAGAUGGACCUGCGUUGUAUUAGCUAGUUGGUGGGGUAACGGCUCACCAAGGCGACGAUACAUAGCCGACCUGAGAGGGUGAUCGGCCACACUGGGACUGAGACACGGCCCAGACUCCUACGGGAGGCAGCAGUAGGGAAUCUUCGGCAAUGGACGGAAGUCUGACCGAGCAACGCCGCGUGAGUGAAGAAGGGUUUCGGAUCGUAAAGCUCUGUUGUAAGAGAAGAACGAGUGUGAGAGUGGAAAGUUCACACUGUGACGGUAUCUUACCAGAAAGGGACGGCUAACUACGUG
rnacentral:rRNA from 1 species